rnacentral:rRNA from 1 species
GACGAACGCUGGCGGCGUGCUUAACACAUGCAAGUCGAACGGAAAGGCCCUGCUUUUGUGGGGUGCUCGAGUGGCGAACGGGUGAGUAACACGUGAGUAACCUGCCCUUGACUUUGGGAUAACUUCAGGAAACUGGGGCUAAUACCGGAUAGGAGCUCCUGCUGCAUGGUGGGGGUUGGAAAGUUUCGGCGGUUGGGGAUGGACUCGCGGCUUAUCAGCUUGUUGGUGGGGUAGUGGCUUACCAAGGCUUUGACGGGUAGCAGGCCUGAGAGGGUGACCGGCCACAUGGGGGCUGAGAUACGGACCAGACUCCUACGGGAGGCAGCAGUGGGGAAUAUUGCACAAUGGGCGGAAGCCUGAUGCAGAAACGCCGCGUGCGGGAUGACGGCGUUCGGGUUGUAAACCGCUUUCGCCUGUGACGAAGCGUGAGUGACGGUAAUGGGUAAAGAAGCACCGGCUAACUACGUG